rnacentral:rRNA from 1 species
GAGUUUGAUCUUGGCUCAGAUUGAACGCUGGCGGCAUGCCUUACACAUGCAAGUCGAACGGCAGCAUGAUCUAGCUUGCUAGAUUGAUGGCGAGUGGCGAACGGGUGAGUAAUACAUCGGAACGUGCCCUGUAGUGGGGAUAACUAGUCGAAAGAUUAGCUAAUACCGCAUACGACCUGAGGGUGAGAGUGGGGGACCGCAAGGCCUCAUGCUAUAGGAGCGGCCGAUGUCUGAUUAGCUAGCUGGUGGGGUAAAGGCCCACCAAGGCGACGAUCAGUAGCUGGUCUGAGAGGACGAUCAGCCACACUGGGACUGAGACACGGCCCAGACUCCUACGGGAGGCAGCAGUUGGGGGAAUUUUGGACAAUGGGGCGAACCCUGAUCCAGCAAUGCCGCGUGUGUGAAGAAGGCCUUCGGUUGUAAG